AGUUGCUGGCCCCGCCCCCGUAAUUCACUGCAAUACAAAAGGUUAAAGAUUCGAUUGAAUAUAUUCAGGAUGCCAUAAUUUAACCCAGGAGGCAAAGAAACAUAAGAAAUUGAGAUGCAAAUGAGCUUCUUAUCAGCAUCAAAAUAACUUUAGCCUAAGCAUUAAAUACUCGAAACACAUAAAUUGCAAGAAAUAGAAGACCGUAUAACACAAGAAUCGCAGUUGAAAGGGCCAGAAAUGUAAAAUUAAUUAAAUAGAUCAAAUAAAUCUCUUGGUUCAUUCGGUAGAGAAUAAACUUUAAAUUAGAUCUACAAAUUGAAUUGAACACGAAACCGAAUUAAGCAAAUUUGACAUAUACCUCGAGUCCUUGGCUUCCGAGUUUCACGCGCGGCAUCUCAAAUUGUUCAGCCAUUUCUAAUUUUCUUCAAGCUCUUUGACCUAAGCAGCGCCUCUUCGCAUGAAUAUAUAAGAGAAAAUUUCACCACAUACUCUAAAAUUAGAAAAAAAUCAUUCUUUACAAAACACAAUUUUUUUUUAUCCAAAUAUACUACAUUGUAGCAUAAAUAGAAAAUAGUAUGAUCAAUCCCUUGAUUAAUUCUUCCAAAGCUGAAAACAAUCCACCAAUCAAGCCACAUAACCCACCCCAAUUCUCCAAUUCUCGCCAUAGUAAUCCCCAAUCUACUGUCUCACCACUAUAGUUCCAAACAAUCAAUUUCAAGAUUCUUUCACGGAAAAAACUUCAAUACAUUCCAAGAACACACCAAAUCGUAUCUCAUUCUGUAAUCCAUCCAUAUAUUCUGUCCAAAAAAUCGUCUUCACGAUCUUCAAUUUCUGCAUUCUGGGGUUUCAUAUUCGUUAUAUAAACCCUUCUUCCCCAAAUUUGGCUUUUCCUAUUUAUUCACUCGCGUAAGCCCUUCUUCCCCAAAUUUGGCUUUUCCUAUUUAUUCACUCGUGUAAACCCGACCCCAAAAAAUGUUGUCAUCGAACCCACCAGCGCACACAUAAGCGAAGGUCCUACACGCUAAGACACGUGGACGGUCUAUGUUGAUCCCAAAAAAUAUUGUCAACAGAUGCUGGACCCACCCGCGCACACGUGAGCGAAGGUCCUACACGCUGAGACACAUGGACGGUCUAGGACGAACGGAUCAAGGGCGUGGGAGUAGCUCAACGACGUGGGACGAGAAUGUUCGAAAUUCGGCGGGAUGUUCGUAAUCC
rnacentral:lncRNA from 1 species